ensembl:lncRNA
CAAGAACACAGACACUUUUGAGGCAGAAGUUCACAAGGAUCAGCCCAGCAUCUUUUCUAACAGAAAACGACCCAGAUCAUUUCUGCUCUGAAUCAUCAACAAAGAAGGGAAAGGAAGAAAAGUGAAGCUCUUCAAGAAAAGUAAAAAAGAGAAAGAAGAAUCACACUCCUCUUGUGCAACGUGCAUUGAUCGCUAUGUGUAUCACACACCAACGAGAAAACCCAGGGAGUGCACUGAACCACGAUGAGCUGCAUCACCUUUCAUGCUUUAAAGAGAAAACUUGGGCAUCAGGGAGAUUGUAGGGGAUGGACAUCCCCCUCUGGCCCACAGGGCACAUUCUUUGCCACUCCAUCUGCCACUCCCAGCUGCAAAAUCCUCAUCACCACCACGAGGUGAUCUCAGAGCAAAGCCCACUGCUAGCACAUGGAAGGAAACCACUUUGGCCUGCUGCUGCCACACAAGCCUCACUGUCCCCCUCCCCCCACUCUCUUCUUUUCCUUCCUCUACAACAUGUUCAAGGCAUCUGAACAUCCAGGUACUGAGAUAUCCCAGAGCGAGCUUUCCUUCCCCAUCCUGCUCAGAUGGCUCUUGUCGUCAGUUACCUCCAGCCCAACUUUCGACUCCCUGCUUUCUACCAGGGAUUCCCUCCCUCCUUUCUUUCCCUCCUGCUCACAGCUCUGGAGCUUGCAUUAUUUCCUUUCUUGGAG